GACGAACGCUGGCGGCGUGCCUAACACAUGCAAGUCGAACGGACGAGGGGAGCUUGCUCCCUAAGUUAGUGGCGAACGGGUGAGUAACGCGUGAGAAACCUGCCUCUCAGUGGGGGACAACAGUUGGAAACGACUGCUAAUACCGCAUAAUGUAUUCGGAGGGCAUCCUCUGGAUACCAAAGCUUUAUGUGCUGAGAGAUGGUCUCGCGUCUGAUUAGCUAGAUGGCGGGGUAACGGCCCACCAUGGCGACGAUCAGUAGCCGGUCUGAGAGGAUGAACGGCCACAUUGGGACUGAGAUACGGCCCAGACUCCUACGGGAGGCAGCAGUGGGGAAUAUUGGGCAAUGGGGGGAAACCCUGACCCAGCAACGCCGCGUGAAGGAAGAAGGCUUUCGGGUUGUAAACUCGUUUUACCAGGGACGAAGGACGUGACGGUACCUGGAGAAAAAGCAACGGCUAACUACGUG
rnacentral:rRNA from 1 species